rnacentral:rRNA from 1 species
ACGAACGCUGGCGGCGUGCUUAACACCUGCAAGUCGAACGGAAAGGCCCUGCUUUUGUGGGGUGCUCGAGUGGCGAACGGGUGAGUAACACGUGAGUAACCUGCCCUUGACUUUGGGAUAACUUCAGGAAACUGGGGCUAAUACCGGAUAGGAGCUCCUGCUGCAUGGUGGGGGUUGGAAAGUUUCGGCGGUUGGGGAUGGACUCGCGGCUUAUCAGCUUGUUGGUGGGGUAGUGGCUUACCAAGGCUUUGACGGGUAGCCGGCCUGAGAGGGUGACCGGCCACAUUGGGACUGAGAUACGGCCCAGACUCCUACGGGAGGCAGCAGUGGGGAAUAUUGCACAAUGGGCGGAAGCCUGAUGCAGCAACGCCGCGUGCGGGAUGACGGCCUUCGGGUUGUAAACCGCUUUCGCCUGUGACGAAGUGUGAGUGACGGUAAUGGGUAAAGAAGCACCGGCUAACUACGUG